GACGAACGCUGGCGGCGUGCUUAACACAUGCAAGUCGAACGGAAAGGCCCUGCUUUUGUGGGGUGCUCGAGUGGCGAACGGGUGAGUAACACGUGAGUAACCUGCCCUUGACUUUGGGAUAACUUCAGGAAACUGGGGCUAAUACCGGAUAGGAGCUCCUGCUGCAUGGUGGGGGUUGGAAAGUUUCGGCGGUUGGGGAUGGACUCGCGGCUUAUCAGCUUGUUGGUGGGGUAGUGGCUUACCAAGGCUUUGACGGGUAGCCGGCCUGAGAGGGUGACCGGCCACAUUGGGACUGAGAUACGGCCCAGACUACUACGGGAGGCAGCAGUGGGGAAUAUUGCAUAAUGGGCGGAAGCCUGAUGCAGCAACGCCGCGUGCGGGAUGACGGCAUUCGUGUUGUAAACCGCUUUCGCCUGUGACGAAGCGUGAGUGACGGUAAUGGGUAAAGAAGCACCGGCUAACUACGUG
rnacentral:rRNA from 1 species